rnacentral:rRNA from 1 species
UACGUAGGGGGCAAGCGUUUGUCCGGAAUCAUUGGGCGUAAAGAGCGUGUAGGCGGCCAGAUAAGUCCGCUGUGAAAUCUCGAGGCUCAACUUCGAGCUGUCGGUGGAAACUGUCUGGCUAGAGUCCGGAAGAGGAGAAUGGAAUUCCUGGUGUAGCGGUGAAAUGCGCAGAUAUCAGGAAGAACACCCGUGGCGAAGGCGGUUCUCUGGGACGGUACUGACGCUGAGACGCGAAAGCGUGGGGAGCGAACAGG